GGUUCAGCUUCAAGCCAAAAGAAAUCCUCUGCCUAAAGAAUUCCUCUUAGAUCUUACUCCGGAAGGGCAACUCUGAUUUUCUCUAAUUCCAGGCGAUCAUUCUCACAGAUUACGGUAUUGCAAAUCCCAAAUUAUGGAAUUCAAUUCCUCCUCUCCCAAAACCAUCUCUGUAGUUUCCACUUUUGCCACUCCCUUCGACAAUAAUUCCCCUCCAGUCAACGGCACCCUCAAUUCUCAAACCCGCAAGCCAAUUGCUUUAUGGCCAGGAAUGUACCAUUCCCCUGUCACCAGUGCUCUCUGGGAAGCAAGGUCCAAGAUCUUUGAGAGGCUUCUUGACCCACCUAAAGAUGCACCUCCACAGAGUGAAUUGCUUACCAAAACUCCAAAGCAAAGCCGUACAAGCAUCUUGUACAAUUUUUCUUCUGAUUAUAUACUUAGAGAGCAGUAUAGGGAUCCUUGGAAUGAGGUCAGGAUUGGGAAGUUGCUCGAGGACCUUGAUGCUUUAGCUGGCACCAUUUCUGUCAAGCACUGUUCUGAUGAUGAUAGCACAACAAGGCCACUCUUGCUUGUCACUGCUUCUGUUGACAAAAUUGUCCUGAGGAAGCCAAUCAGUGUUGACAUUGAUCUCAACAUAGUUGGUUCUGUUAUAUGGGUUGGCCGGUCGUCAAUUGAAAUUCAACUGGAAGUCAUUCAAUCCGCCAAAGAGGGCUCUGAUACUUCAGACUCAGUAGCUUUGACGGCAAACUUUAUAUUUGUGGCCCGUGACUCCAAGACUGGGAAAGCUGCUCCAGUGAACCACCUGUCACCAGAAACUCAAGAAGAAAAGUUACUGUUUAAAGAAGCUGAAGCGAGGAGUAUACUGAGGAAAAGGAAGAGGGUAGAAGAGAGAAAGGAAUGUGAGAAUGGUGAGGUCAAUAGACUUGAAGCUUUGUUGGCUGAGGGAAGAAUCUUCUGUGACAUGCCAGCCUUAGCUGACCGAGGCAGCAUUCUUCUGAGGGAUACCCACCUUGAAAACUCUUUGAUUUGCCAGCCGCAGCAAAGGAACAUUCAUGGUCGAAUCUUUGGUGGGUUUUUGAUGCAUCGGGCUUUUGAGUUGGCUUUCUCAACUGCUUAUGCAUUUGCUGGAUUGGUUCCUUACUUUCUAGAAGUUGAUCAUGUUGAUUUCUUAAGACCAGUGGAUGUUGGAGACUUCCUGCGUUUGAAAUCAUGUGUUCUUUACACGGAACUUGAAAACCCAGAGCAGCCUGUGAUUAACAUUGAAGUUGUUGCUCAUGUUACCAGGCCUGAGCUGAGAUCAAGUGAGGUAUCAAAUACAUUUUACUUCUCUUUCACUGUACGUCCCGAGGCAAAAGCCACGAAGAAUGGAUUUAGGUUACGCAAUGUGGUUCCAGCAACGGAAGAAGAAGCACGUCGAAUCCUAGAACGCAUAGAUGCAGAGACCUUACAGACGAGCAAGGCAUAUACAAAUAAGAAAUGUCUUUAACCAUUUAAGAUACUGAAUUCUGAAUUAGGAACAACCUUCACACAACCCACACAUCACUCACUAACUCCCAUCCCACCCAAUAAAAGGUUACUAUAUUUUUAUUAGAAGUAGGGAUGAUAUAAGGUAUAUUCUGGUUAAAAUAAUUGUAGCCUUCAUAUUACAUUACAGGUGUAUGAACUCCCCACUUCAAAAUGAUCUCUGAUCUUGCAAGUUUGAGUUAGGGAUUUUA
rnacentral:misc_RNA from 1 species